AUACCAAAUGAAAAACAAGUAAUUUGGUUUUGGAUCAAUGAAUUUGGAUGCCAGAAAAAGCUUAGAGAAAUCAUUCAUCUUCUAUGCAGCUAUCACAAGCAGAUUUCAGAGGAAAAUUCAACACGGGAAACGAUUUCAUUAAUUAUAUUAAUUUCACCUACCCGUAGGUUUGUUCCAUUAUCGGAUCCAGAAUGACUUUUAUUGUGCUGUUUUCAGUGACGAAGAACUCUUAAAUCGAUGUCUUUGGAAGAGAAAUGUAUUUUCAAGCUGACAGAUGCUGUGCACUAGAGAUAAUUCAGAUUUCUGCUAAUGAAGUGCAAGAACUGGCUUAUGAUAGAAUCCCUACUAACUUAUUUACAAAGGCGAUCAAUUUCUCAUCUCCAUCACAGCUUUCAUUAUUCUUGUCUGAAUUAUUUUUACCUAGACAACAUUCAAUUUGAACUUUUAAAGCAUUAUUGAUUUUAUUUCAAUCUAACAAUCCAUGGCUAUAUUCCCAAAUUCAGCUUCAAACAGUAAAGUAACUGCUGCGGAAUUGAAAAAAAUUGGGAAUUUUUAUUGAUAGAUGUUGAGAAAGCUUUGAAUUUUCUUAUCCAAAAGAAAAAAGUAGUAAGAAAAGUAAUGAACUUCUCAAAAUCCAGAAACUUUGAAAAAUAUAAACCAGGAAAUUUAAGAUGGAUCAGAAUCCUGGCUUGGUUCUCAAAAGAGAAAAAUCGCUCAGUUUAUUCAGCUUCGAUCAUUUGGGGAAAUAAUCAUCAUCUCCAUCUGUUGAAUCCCAUUAUUUAUCAUUAAUUAUUCCUACAAAUCGCAAUAAUUUAACAUAAAAAAUAAAAAUUUCAAAAAAUAUUUUAAAAAAUCAAGUUGAAGAUGGAUCAGAAAUCUGGCUUGGAUCUCUCGAAAGAGAAAAAUCGCUCAGUUUGUUCACCUUCGAUCAUCUGGGGAAAUAAUCAUCACCUCCAUCUUCGUCUUCAUUUAAAAAAAAACUUUCAAAAUAGAACAAAAUAAAGAUCUAACAAAGACACCAAAAUAUCUCCAAAUCUGCAUCAAACAGAGAGGUGUAAGGAUCUAAUCAACUCCUAAUUGGGAUUUUGCAGAAACGGAAAAUUAGAUAUAGCGUCAGCUCAUACACAACGUUUACUCUGUAAAAAACGCUGGUAAUCAGUAUAUGACGCAAGGAAAAAUUAGAUUUCUUGAUAGUUAAUGAAAGGUUAAGAAAUU